rnacentral:sRNA from 1 species
AAGAUGCCAAGAUGGACGCCAAGCAGCCAGGAAAAAGACCCCAACCCCACCCGGUGUCCCCGAGGCCCCGCGCGCAGCCUCCUCACCCCCGCUAUCCGCGGCCUCCGGGUCCUCCUCCGCCUUCCGCUUGAGCUUCUGAGAGGAGGGGCUCACCGGCGCGUCCCCCAGCAGUGAGCUGAAGAGACGCCUGAAAGCUGAGAAGAAAGUAGCAGAGAAGGAGGCCAAACAGAAAGAGCUCAGUGAGAAACAGCUAAGCCAAGCCACCGCUGCUGCCACCAACCACACCACUGGCAAUGGUGUGGGUCCUGAGGAAGAGAGCUUGGACCCAAAUCAAUACUACAAAAUCCGCAGUCAAGCAGUUCAUCAGCUGAAGGUCAAUGGGGAAGACCCAUACCCACACAAGUUCCAUGUAGACAUCUCACUCACUGACUUCAUCCAAAAAUAUAGUCACCUGCAGCCUGGGGAUCACCUGACUGACAUCACCUUAAAGGUGGCAGGUAGGAUCCAUGCCAAAAGAGCUUCUGGGGGAAAGCUCAUCUUCUAUGAUCUUCGAGGAGAGGGGGUGAAGUUGCAAGUCAUGGCCAAUUCCAGAAAUUAUAAAUCAGAAGAAGAAUUUAUUCAUAUUAAUAACAAACUGCGUCGGGGAGAUAUAAUUGGAGUUCAGGGGAAUCCUGGUAAAACCAAGAAGGGUGAGCUGAGCAUCAUUCCGUAUGAGAUCACACUGCUGUCUCCCUGUUUGCAUAUGUUACCUCAUCUUCACUUUGGCCUCAAAGACAAGGAAACAAGGUAUCGCCAGAGAUACUUGGACUUGAUCCUGAAUGACUUUGUGAGGCAGAAAUUUAUCAUCCGCUCUAAGAUCAUCACAUAUAUAAGAAGUUUCUUGGAUGAGCUGGGAUUCCUAGAGAUUGAAACUCCCAUGAUGAACAUCAUCCCAGGGGGAGCCGUGGCCAAGCCUUUCAUCACUUAUCACAACGAGCUGGACAUGAACUUAUAUAUGAGAAUUGCUCCAGAACUCUAUCAUAAGGUAGUCAAUAAUAGUACACCCUUUUCCCUUAAAGAAGCAGAAAGCUGGAAAACCACUGGCUAGACGGGUAUAGUCAGAAAUAAGAGGAACAGAGAGAGUAAAGCAGCCAAGAAAGUGUUCUGAUGGGUCAGGUGUGUGGAUGUGAGUAACACUUCCAGAAUUUCUCUACAAGAUUAAUAGAGCAUUGCAGGGCAGAGACCAA